rnacentral:rRNA from 1 species
GAUGAACGCUAGCGGCAGGCCUAACACAUGCAAGUCGAGGGGUAACAUAGAGAAGCUUGCUUUUCUGAUGACGACCGGCGCACGGGUGCGUAACGCGUAUACAAUCUACCUUGUACUGAGGAAUAGCCCAGAGAAAUUUGGAUUAAUGCUUCAUAGUCUAUAUUAAUGGCAUCAUUAAGAUAGUAAAGGUUACGGUACAAGAUGAGUAUGCGUUCUAUUAGCUAGUUGGUAUGGUAACGGCAUACCAAGGCAACGAUAGAUAGGGGCCCUGAGAGGGGGAUCCCCCACACUGGUACUGAGACACGGACCAGACUCCUACGGGAGGCAGCAGUGAGGAAUAUUGGACAAUGGAGGCAACUCUGAUCCAGCCAUGCCGCGUGCAGGAAGACUGCCCUAUGGGUUGUAAACUGCUUUUAUACAGGAAGAAACAUCUCUACGUGUAGAGACUUGACGGUACUGUAAGAAUAAGGAUCGGCUAACUCCG